rnacentral:lncRNA from 1 species
UUCUGGUUUCAAAUGACACUGGGCCGGAAACCCCUGAGACAGCCUCUCCCAACUUACUGGUAAAAUCCUGUUGAAGAUUAAGAAACUACGAGUGUAGUAAUUUGGACAUGGGCAGGCUGGGUAUGGGGACCAUGGGCAGGAUGGUCAUGCCAUGAGGAGGGACAGCUGGACAUGCUCUGGGAUGGAUGUGAUGCCGUUUCUUACACAAUGAUGCUCAUGAAACUUUCUUCAUUGAUAGUUUUCUGGUUGAAGAAAGAGAAUCUCCUCUUCCCUUUUGGAUCCUAUUCUGGUUUUGUAAAAAUCAUAUAUACUUAUUGCAAAGAAUUCAAGCAGAGCAGAAAGAGUUCGAAGAGGAAAGUUAAAGAGAGCAAUCACCUGCAUUUCUGCCCCUGGAAAACAGCCAUUUGUGAUUUAAGGAGAAUACAAGCCCUGACCAAAGAUUCUUAAUAACUGAAGACAUGUCUAAGCAAAGAGGAUUUCCAGAACACGCUUCCCAUGAAUUACACUUAGAGUUUGCAUUUUGAUUGGAACUGCCGACAGAGUGCGAUUUGAAGCCCCUUUGCUAAAACCUAAUAUUUCCA